rnacentral:rRNA from 1 species
CAGCACGGACUUCGGUCUGGUGGCGAGUGGCGAACGGGUGAGUAAUACAUCGGAACGUGUCCUGGAGUGGGGGAUAGCCCGGCGAAAGCCGGAUUAAUACCGCAUACGCUCGGGAGAGGAAAGCGGGGGAUCUUUCGGGACCUCGCGCUCAAGGGGCGGCCGAUGGCAGAUUAGGUAGUUGGUGGGGUAAAGGCCUACCAAGCCGACGAUCUGUAGCUGGUCUGAGAGGACGACCAGCCACACUGGGACUGAGACACGGCCCAAACUCCUACGGGAGGCAGCAGUGGGGAAUUUUGGACAAUGGGCGCAAGCCUGAUCCAGCAAUGCCGCGUGUGUGAAAAAGGCCUUCGGGUUGUAAAGCACUUUUGUCCGGAAAGAAAACCUCGUGGCUAAUAUCCGUGAGGGAUGACGGUACCGGAAAAAUAACCACCGGCUAACUACGUGCCAGCAGCCGCGGUAAUACGUAUGGUGCGAGCGUUAAUCGGAAUUACUGGGCGUAAAGCGUGCGCAGGCGGUGCUGUAAAACCGAUGUGAAAUCCCCGGGCUUAACCUGGGAACUGCAUUGGUGACUGCAGCGGUGGAGUAUGGCAGAGGGGGGUGGACUUCCACGUGUACCAGUGAAAUGCGUAGAGAUGUGGAGCAACCCGGUUGGCGAAGGCAGCCCCCUGGGCCAAUACUGACGCUCAUGCACGAAAGCGUGGGGAGCAAACAGGAUUAGAUACCGUGGUAGUCCACGCCAUAAACGAUGUCAACUGGUUGUCGGGCCUUCAUUGGCUUGGUAACGUAGCUAACGCGUGAAGUUGACCGCCUGGGGAGUACGGUCGCAAGAUUAAAACUCAAAGGAAUUGACGGGGACCCGCACAAGCGGUGGAUGAUGUGGAUUAAUUCGAUGCAACGCGAAAAACCUUACCUACCCUUGACAUGUAUGGAAUCCUGCCGAGAGGCGGGAGUGCCCGAAAGGGAGCCAUAACACAGGUGCUGCAUGGCUGUCGUCAGCUCGUGUCGUGAGAUGUUGGGUUAAGUCCCGCAACGAGCGCAACCCUUGUCCCUAGUUGCUACGCAAGAGCACUCCAGGGAGACUGCCGGUGACAAACCGGAGGAAGGUGGGGAUGACGUCAAGUCCUCAUGGCCCUUAUGGGUAGGGCUUCACACGUCAUACAAUGGUCGGAACAGAGGGUUGCCAAGCCGCGAGGUGGAGCCAAUCCCAGAAAACCGAUCGUAGUCCGGAUCGCACUCUGCAACUCGGGUGCGUGAAGCUGGAAUCGCUAGUAAUCGCGGAUCAGCAUGCCGCGGUGAAUACGUUCCCGGGUCUUGUACACACCGCC